rnacentral:rRNA from 1 species
CCUACGGGAGGCAGCAGUGAGGAAUAUUGGUCAAUGGACGAGAGUCUGAACCAGCCAAGUAGCGUGAAGGAUGACUGCCCUAUGGGUUGUAAACUUCUUUUAUAUGGGAAUAAAAUGUUCCACGUGUGGGAUUUUGUAUGUACCAUAUGAAUAAGGAUCGGCUAACUCCGUGCCAGCAGCCGCGGUAAUACGGAGGAUCCGAGCGUUAUCCGGAUUUAUUGGGUUUAAAGGGAGCGUAGGUGGAUUGUUAAGUCAGUUGUGAAAGGUUGCGGCUCAACCGUAAAAUUGCAAUUGAUACUGGCAGUCUUGAGUACAGUUGAGGUAGGCGGAAUUCGUGGUGUAGCGGUGAAAUGCUUAGAUAUCACGAAGAACCCCGAUGGCGAAGGCAGCUUACUAAACUGUGACUGACAUUGAUGCUCGAAAGUGUGGGGAUCAAACAGGAUUAGAUACCCUGGUAGUC